UGGGGAAUUUUGGACAAUGGGGGAAACCCUGAUCCAGCCAUCCCGCGUGUGCGAUGAAGGCCUUGGGGUUGUAAAGCACUUUUGGCAGGAAAGAAACGUCAUGGGUUAAUACCCCGUGAAACUGACGGUACCUGCAGAAUAAGCACCGGCUAACUACGUGCCAGCAGCCGCGGUAAUACGUAGGGUGCAAGGGUUAAUCGGAAUUACUGGGCGUAAAGAGUGCGCAGGAGGUUCGGAAAGAAAGAUGUGAAAUCCCAGAGCUCAACUUUGGAACCGCAUUUUUAACUACCGGGCUAGAGUGUGUGAGAGGGAGGUGGAAUUCCGCGUGUAGCAGUGAAAUGCGUAGAUAUGCGGAGGAACACCGAUGGCGAAGGCAGCCUCCUGGGAUAACACUGACGCUCAUGCACGAAAGCGUGGGGAGCAAACAGG
rnacentral:rRNA from 1 species